AUUGAACGCUGGCGGCAGGCCUAACACAUGCAAGUCGAGCGGAUGAAAGGGGCUUGCUCCUGGAUUCAGCGGCGGACGGGUGAGUAAUGCGCAGGAAUCUACCUAGUAGUGGGGGAUAACGUUUCGAAAGGGGCGCUAAUACCGCAUACGUUCUGAGGAAGAAAGCAGGGGAUCGUAAGACCUUGCGCUAUUAGAUGAGCUUGCGUCCGAUUAGCUAGUUGGUGGGGUAAAGGCCUAUCAAGGCGACGAUCGGUAACUGGUCUGAGAGGAUGAUCAGUCACACUGGAACUGAGACACGGUCCAGACUCCUACGGGAGGCAGCAGUGGGGAAUAUUGGACAAUGGGGGCAACCCUGAUCCAGCCAUGCCGCGUGUGUGAAGAAGGCCCUCGGGUUGUAAAGCACUCUAAGCGGGGAGGAAGGCCUGAUGGUUAAUACCCAUUGGGAUUGACGUUACCCGCAGAAUAAGCACCGGCAAACUUCGUG
rnacentral:rRNA from 1 species